UGUUCAGUCAUACUCUUAACUAUAAGUGGAGUAUCAGAACAUGAUGAAUUGAGAUUAAUGACAUAUGAUGAGUAUCUUUGGCUCUCAGAGAACAGGAGCACUCUGGGAGGCUCCAUUCUGGC
ensembl:snoRNA U8 U8 small nucleolar RNA